UACAAAAGUAAAAUGGGAUUGUCACUGUUCAAUGAACAGUGAUACAACUCUUUUUUUCCUUUCCGGAUUUGCCCUCAAAACAGAUAAACAUGGGGUUUUAUACUGUUCUGCUGUGACGCUUUUGUCUCUUCUGCCGCUUUGGUCGGUUUCGUCAGAGAAGAGAAAGAAGAAGGAGGAGGAGGAGGAGACGGGAAGCUCUCUUUCCUUUCAGAGGUCCGCUCACUGCUCGGGUAUGAUUCGUUCUUGCAUGCGCUUAAUUGAUCUUGUCUAGGCAUUCUGCUGGUCGAGAAUGGUAUUCUGGUAUGGUUUAUGGUAUUCAAAUCAUCAAAAGGUUUUAAUUGGAAAAAUGGUGGUGUAGACUCUGCAUGCAGUCCCAGCGCUGCCUCACCUUCCCCGUCAUACUCCGGCGAGCCAUUAAAACGUACUCAGGAGUCAGAUCAAGAGGAGCCUCACAUGAAAAGGAAGGUGCUUGCUGAGGCCAAAUUGAGGAUGGGGAUUGACUGACAUUGAAGCUGUAUGAGUAACGUAGCCUAAAAUUUUUGUAUUCAUCGUAUUUCUCCCGGGUUAGUUUCGCGAUGGAGGACCCGAAAAGAUGAGCUGCCUAUUUUUCUGGGUCGCACCUCUUGCGCCACCAUAGGAAAGAGCGGAGGUAAUCAUGUUCGAGUGCAACGUUGUUAUAUAUAAGUUUGUGCAGGAACUUCACUUCUUUGUGACUGGAGGUGACGAUGAAAAUGAACUCAUUUUAGCAACUCUACUUCAGGGAUUCUUUGAUGCAGUUGCCCUUCUCUUGAGGAAAAAUGUCGACAAAAGGGAGGCAUUAGAGCACCUGGAUCUCAUACUCCUAUAGUUCAAUGCUUUGAUGUGAUCAUUGAUCAAUGAUCUGCUCAUUUUUUACCCUUUGCAACUGUUAAAGCUGAAGAGAUUUUGGUGUCACUGCCUGCUGAAAUACAUCACUUCGUUAAGUUUCUGUGAUUAAUCCUUAAACUUGCAGUAGUAAUUGGUCAUGGAGAGUUGCCUACAAUUAUAAGAUGAUUCAUCAAGCGCAAUUUCUUUUGCAGUAAUUGAUCAUUUUUUCUGUUGCAUGAUCUAUGGACCUUCAUUGGUGUUGAUGUCUACUGAAAUAUGUAAAUAUACUAUUGUGGUUAGAACAUUUUAUUUUGUGGAAAUAUUGCAGUUAAAAUGUCUAUUUAAACAAUAUCGGUUAAUAUUAUGUUUGAAAUAUCUAAGUAUGGUUAAAACACCAGCUUUUGUAAUAUGUAAAAUGAUAGCAUUGCAGUUAACUUUAAUCAACUUAUAACUGUGAUUCUGUUACGAACAAAUUUGAGAACAAUAAAAGGACACAAACCCGCAGCAUCGCGCGGGAAGUACCAUCUAGUUAUAAAGAUACAAAAGUAAAAUCGGAUUGUCACUGUUCAAUGAACAGUGAUAUAGCUUUUUUUUUUUUCUUUCCGGAUUUGCCCUCAAAACAGAUAAACAUGGGGUUUUAUACUGUCCUGCUGUGACGCUUUUGUCUCUUCUGCCGCUUCGAUCUUUUUUCUUUAAUUCGUUUUGGGUCUUGGUCGGUUUCGUCAGAGAAGGUCGGUGAGAAAAAGAGAUAGAAGGGCUGAACCUGCCGGCUAGAUAGUAAGCGAGAGUAAAAAAGAAAGAGUGAGAAAAGAAGAAGAAGAAGAAGAAGAAGAAGAAGAAGGAGGAGGAGGAGGAGACGGGAAGCUCUCUGGGUUUUCUUUGAUCGGCUCCCGUAUUUGUCUUGAGCUGACCAAGCCUGUUACUAAGCCCCCAUUGGUAUGGAGACUGGGGAGUUUGCGGAGCUGCUGCCUGUGAGUUGUUCUUGAAUUUCUGUCAUCAACUUCUGUUCAGCCAUCACUGGUACAUCACUGGGUUACAUUCAGCCUGGAUUGAGCGAUGUUGUGAUUUGGUGUUGAUAAAAUCAGUGAAAGGCUUUGACAUCAAUGAAAGAAAGGUGAUGGUGUGACAGAGUAAAAUCCUGAUCCUUCAAUGUAUCUGACAGCUGUUAAGGCUGUGUUGCAGACCAGAUUUGAGGUGGAACAAGCUGCUCACUAUCUGAUAUUCAAUUGUCAAGUAAAGAAUAACCGGUGAUUCAGACAAGUGAUUCCGAUACCGUCGAUGUUGCUGAAGGACAUCAAUUUAAAAAUGCUUCUUUGUUGGCAGACUUGACGGGCACAAAGUUCAUUGAGCGCCAAAAUGGAAGAGAGGGUGAAGGAGGGAACUGAAAACAUCUUCCAUUGGUUUUAAGCAUUCAAAUCUUUCAAAGGGAAGAGCACAUUGAAAUUGCCAAAGCCAAGAAGAAAGUACUAGAGAUAGAGUUGUGCUCAUCUGAGGAAGAGCUUGAUACUGAGGCAUGUUUUCUUACCAGGCUUCGUUAUCUCCAGAUCUAUCUGUUAAUCAUUAUGCUCUGAUUACUUGCCUUAUUUAUACAGCAGUAUGUUAUAAACAGAUCAAAUUUG